AGCGAACGCUGGCGGCGUGCCUAACACAUGCAAGUCGAACGUGAAAAGGGAAACCUGAGUAAAGUGGCGUACGGGUGAGUAACGCGUAGGUAAUCUACCCCAGAAUCUAGAAUAACCUGCCGAAAGGCGGGCUAAUACUGGAUAGAGCGAGGGAACUCGUAAGAGAGUUUUUCGGGAAAGGGAGCCCGCAAGGGCCUUCGUUCUGGGAUGAGCCUGCGUCUCAUUAGCUAGUUGGUAAGGUAACGGCUUACCAAGGCGAUGAUGAGUAGCUGGUCUGAGAGGAUGAUCAGCCACACUGGAACUGAAACACGGUCCAGACUCCUACGGGAGGCAGCAGUGGGGAAUCUUGCGCAAUGGACGAAAGUCUGACGCAGCCACGCCGCGUGAGUGAAGAAGGCCUUCGGGUUGUAAAGCUCUGUCGGAUGGGACGAACAUCUUCAUAGUGAAUAGCUAUGAGGACUGACGGUACCAUCAAAGGAAGCACCGGCUAACUCCGUG
rnacentral:rRNA from 1 species